UACGGGGGGGGCAAGCGUUGUUCGGAAUUACUGGGCGUAAAGGGCUCGUAGGCGGUUUGUCGCGUCGGGAGUGAAAUCCACUGGCUUAACUGGUGGCUUGCUUUCGAUACGGGCAGACUGGAGGUAUGCAGGGGAGAACGGAAUUCCUGGUGUAGCGGUGAAAUGCGCAGAUAUCAGGAGGAACACCGGUGGCGAAGGCGGGAUCUCUGG
rnacentral:rRNA from 1 species